GUUCAGUAAUAGACAUAUGAAGAAUAUUGGGAACAACGUGAAAAACACUGUGUCUACCUCCAAUGCAUUGAUCAAUAUUCGGAGCUUGCCAGAUCCCAACACACCAGUCCUAUCAUAUGGAAGUCAGUCGAUGGUUAGGCAUGUGCUUGCGAAACAUGUAUAUAUGAUGAACGAAUUUUUUUUAUUGAAUAGUUUAUGUAUUCAAUUGGAUCGAACCUUAGAUCUUUGUAUGAACUUUAUUUUAUUAUUUUAUCAAAAACUUGUCAUCAAUUGGUGUUGAAAAUUUUAACGAUUGUGAUAGAAAAAAUAAUAAAAACUAGGGUCAAACAAAUUACAAAUUAUACCUAUAAUUUAUUGUUGUAUUUUUAUCUAUAUCAUACAUAAAUUUAUAUACAAUCACAUUAAUGUAAUAAAUCAAUGAUGAUAAUAGAUUAUUGAACUUUUAAAGUUCAAUUUUCUAUGAUCAAUAAAUGAUAUAAUAUUUAAAUCUUUAUUUCGAUUAAAUUUUCAUAUAGAUAACGAUAAUAAAUAUUUAUAUCCAAUAAAUCUUUUUUUAAGAAAAUAUCCAAUAAAUCUUGAAAUAUGACUUUUAUACAGAGAAACUUGAAAUGAAAAUUAUUAUUAUUAUCAAAAUAAGAUCGCUUAGGUGAUAUAUAUAGAAAAUAAAAUUUUAUGAACCAAAAUUUAAUCAAUAAAAACUUAUACACGUUACAAAAAGAUAACCGACAUAAAAGUUACGAAAAUGUAACGUCCUGUUUAUCAUUAUAUAUAAUCGAUCAAAUAUCAGAUACAUAUCAUUCACAACAAUACACGAGUUCCAGUAUGCAAGUAUCAUUCAUAAUAUUUCUUUAGUCAAAGAGUUUAAGCAAACUCUUUUUAAGUGAACUAUGGUGCAGUUGUAUUGUAAUCAGUUGGGUGUACUCCAUAGUUAUCAUGAAUCAACUAUAUUUUUAAAGGUACAAAGAUUUUGUUUAAUUGACUUCUUGUCAAACAUCAUUUAUUAUAUUUUUAGAAAUUUGUUGUUAAAUCGUCAUAACUCAUUCAUUUUUGUUUUUAAUUUAAUCUCAGAAGCUUUAAAUUUGAUUUAUCUUCAUAUGCAGAUGGAUGUGUAUCAAAAUGUUAAACAAUGAAGAAGAUGCUCCUAAAUAAUUCAAAAUCCAGUAGAUGGGACACAAAUGGUGAGUGAUAUGAGCUUUAUUUUCGAGAACACACACUCAAGAAGGAUAUGCCCACCAUCAUAAAUUUUAAGAAUUUUACAAAACUAGUAAGAAUAUAAUAUGUUUAUGGUAUUAUUUUUCCUACUUAUUAACACUUUAAAUUUUUAAUUUCAUUUUUUUAAUAUUUUUACAUAUGUUAUUAAUCGACACUUUUCUUCAUAUGUAUAGCAUGAUCAAUUCGAGCUGUCCCUUUUGGCGUGGAGCUCAUUUCUUGCAAAUUACCCAUAUUAAGGUGGCUUUUGAUGUGGGAAUGUUGCUCAAGUCAUAAAAAGCCUUCGAACACGAUUGUUUGUUUUGCAUUUCUAGACAACUUUACAUCCUAAUUAAGACUUCAGAACUCUAGCUACUACUUGUCCUCAUCCUCAUCUCUCUUCUCUUUGUUGAAUGAUCACUUCAAAUUCCAAUCAAGAUUUGUCGCGGAGAAAGAAUUGAAGUUGCGGUAUGAAAAAGAAAUAAAG
rnacentral:lncRNA from 1 species